GUCAGGAAAUAGUUAAGUGCUAGAGUAUUUUGAUUAGCAGAGCCUUAAAGUCAGUAAAAGACAGUCAGAGAGAACUAUCAGGAGCAUGCUAAUGAAGUGAAGUCAUCAGCAGACACCAGGGACGGAUUCAUGCCUGCUCCACGCCGCGCCGGACCGCCGGGCUGCAGGAACGCGCGGGCAGGUGGACGGGGGCUGACGGCGAGGGGCUCCCCUGGAUAUCGCCGGAGCCUGAUGGCAUUUCCAGCUCCGCCGGAGCCGCGGGAGGACUGGAGAUAGCGCAGAGAGAGACUGGGAAGGCAGCGCAGGGCAGCUUCCGACUCGCGGGGAAAGAUUACGGAGGAGCUGCACGGGGUGAGACGGCAGCUCUUCAUCCCCCGACUUUUUAAUUUCCAGCCGAGGAGAAUGCAGCCCUCCCCUCCGGCCGCCCUAUAAUGAGGGCCCUAUGUCAGGGAAGCAGAGUCUGGGGGCAUCCAGGGACUGCAAACCCACACCUGGUACCCAUCAGCACCUCCACAGCCAAGAAAUUCAUAUUUCAUGGGAGGUGGAAGUGAGUCCCCGCAGUAGCGGCGUGGCGGAGGGGUGCCAAGGUCCGGGUUGAAGGAUGCGGCAGCACCCUGCUGGUGCCUGGCAGUCCACAGUGCACCGUGCCCAUCCCUGCACCCGGCCCCACAGCACCGUGCCAUGACGGGCGGACAGGAGGCAGCAGCAGGACGGGCGUGUGGGGCUGUG
rnacentral:lncRNA from 1 species